CCUGCAGAAGCUGGGUUUGUGAAAUCAUAAGUAAUACAUUUUUCUGCUGAAUUGAAUGGUGUGAGGGGUCCAGAUGAAACCAGGGCAAACUCCCCUGGCACACGUGGAGCCAUGAGUGUGUAGGGACAGCCUUAGGAGACUGGAAAAGCAGCUCAGGGACAGUACAGGAGACAAGGGAGCACCAGGUGCCAGGAGUUGUUCAAAUGUCCUCUGCUCACAUGGAUUCGUGGGUUUGUGUAUCAGCCUGACACGUGAACAAAGACAUCUGGGAGAAAAGGCCCUUCUACAGCCCCUUCCAUUGAAACUCAGACUGGUUUGGGUUGGGAGGGACCUUAAAGCCCAUCCCAUUCCACCCCUGCCACUAUCCACCCAUUCCACCCCAUUCCACCAUCCCAGGCUGUUCCAACCCCAAUGCCUUGGGCUCGGACACUUCCAGGGAUCCAGCUUCUGUGGCAAUUCCACUGCCAGGGCCUCUCAGGGCUGAGGGGAGCGGAGCUGAGGGAAGCGCCCGGCCGGGGUUCGCCAUCCGAGCAACACCGCGGCAGCGCCGCUUCAGCCGCCGGUCGGAACCCCGAGAACAAGGAGAAGGAGGAGAGCCCCUAACUUCCAAGCGUGCCCAUAAAGUGAAUAUAACAUUGAAGUGCCGAGGAAUCGCAGGAGCUCUGUAAGGAAGGACAGACCCACAGCAUGAACGAGGAGCAGUUUCACUACGAACAAGAGCAAUUCCACGAUCUGCAGAAACUCUGAAGAGUUCGGGACGUUUUGCUGUCGAGUCUUGGGGGAGAGUUGGAUUUGUAGCUGUGCUUCUGCCCAACCUGCCUUUAUUAAAGCUUUAAUAUUAGCAAUUUUAUUCAGUGUGGGUCAUGCUCAUUUCUAUUUUGUGUGUGCCACUUACUCAGAACUCUUUAUUAAGAGUGAUUUUUAAUAUGCUCAGUGGAAAGCCCUUGGAACCCUUAAAGAGCAGGUCAGAAGAUGCUGUGCAUGGACAUUAUUACUAAAAUCUUUUUAUGCUUUCUAGAAAUUUUUAAUAUUUAAAACCAGCUGUAAUUCAAAGUCAGGGAUGGUUUAUGUGGUUUUUCAUGCCCAGUGCAGGUAUUUAUGGGUCCUGCUCAUUUCUGGUUGUGCUGAACCUGUUUCCCAUGUUGAUAAG
rnacentral:lncRNA from 12 species